UGUCGUCAGCUCGUGUCGUGAGAUGUUGGGUUAAGUCCCGCAACGAGCGCAACCCCUGUCCUGUGUUGCUACUCCGCAAGGAGAGGACUCUCAGGAGACUGCCGUGGAUAACACGGAGGAAGGUGGGGAUGACGUCAAAUCAUCAUGGCCUUUAUGUCCAGGGCUACACACGUGAUACAAUGGUACAGACAGAGGGCUGCAAGACCGUAAGGUGGAGCCAAUCCCUAAACUGUAUCCCAGUUCAGAUCGAGGGCUGCAAUUCGCCCUCGUGAAGUUGGAAUCGCUAGUAAUCGCAGAUCAGCAGGCUGCGGUGAAUACGUUCCCGGGCCUUGUACACACCGCCCGUCACACUACGAAAGUCAGUUGCAACAGAAGUGCCCAGGAUACUCUGGGCCCCAAGUUGUGGCUGGUGAUUGGAGUGAAGUCGUAACAAGGUAGCCGUACGAGAACGUGCGGCUGGAUCACCUCCUUU
rnacentral:rRNA from 1 species